GAUGAACGCUAGCUACAGGCUUAACACAUGCGAGUCGAGGGGAAACGAUAUUGGAAGCUUGCUUCCGAUAGGCGUCGACCGGCGCACGGGUGAGUAACGCGUAUCCAACCUGCCCACCACUUGGGGAUAACCUUGCGAAAGUAAGACUAAUACCCAAUGACGUCCAUAGAAGACAUCUGAAAUGGAUUAAAGAUUUAUCGGUGAUGGAUGGGGAUGCGUCUGAUUAUCUUGUUGGCGGGGUAACGGCCCACCAAGGCGACGAUCAGUAGGGGUUCUGAGAGGAAGGUCGCCCACAUUGGAACUGAGAAACGGUCCAAACUCCUACGGGAGGCAGCAGUGAGGAAUAUUGGUCAAUGGGCGAGAGCCUGAACCAGCCAAGUAGCGUGCAGGAUGACGGCCCUAUGGGUUGUAAACUGCUUUUAUAAGGGAAUAAAGUGAGUCUCGUGAGACUUUUUGCAUGUACCUUAUGAAUAAGGACCGGCUAAUUCCGUGCCAGCAGCCGCGGUAA
rnacentral:rRNA from 1 species